rnacentral:rRNA from 1 species
AGAGUUUGAUCCUGGCUCAGGAUGAACGACUAGCUACAGGCUUAACACAUGCAAGUCGAGGGGAAACGAUAUUGGAAGCUUGUCUUCCGAUAGGCGUCGACCGGCGUACGGGUGGAGUAAUGCGUAUCCAACCUGCCCACCACUUGGGGAUAACCUUGCGAAAGUAAGACUAAUACCCAAUGACGUCUCUAGAAGACAUCUGAAAGAGAUUAAAGAUUUAUCGGUGAUGGAUGGGGAUGCGUCUGAUUAGCUUGUUGGCGGGGUAACGGCCCACCAAGGCGACGAUCAGUAGGGGUUCUGAGAGGAAGGCCCCCCACAUUGGAACUGAGACACGGUCCAAACUCCUACGGGAGGCAGCA